rnacentral:rRNA from 1 species
AUUGAACGCUGGCGGCAGGCCUAACACAUGCAAGUCGAGCGGAUGAAGGGAGCUUGCUCCUGGAUUCAGCGGCGGACGGGUGAGUAAUGCCUAUGAAUCUGCCUGGUAGUGGGGGAUAACGUCCUGAAACGGGCGCUAAUACCGCAUACGUCCUGAUGGAGAAAGUGGGUGAUCUUCGGACCUCACGCUAUCAUAUGAGCCUAGGUCGGAUUAGCUAGUUGGUGGGGUAAAGGCCUACCAAGGCGACGAUCCGUAACUGGUCUGAGAGGAUGAUCAGUCACCCUGGAACUGAGACACGGUCCAGACUCCUACGGGAGGACGCAGUGGGGAAUAUUGGACAAUGGGGGAAAGCCUGAUACAGCCGUGCCGCGUGUGUGAAGAAGGUCUUAGGAUUGUAAAGCACUUUAAGUUGGGAGGAAGGGCAGUAAGUUAAUACCUUGCUGUUUUGACGUUACCAACAGAAUAAGCACCGGCUAACUUCGUG